rnacentral:misc_RNA from 1 species
GAAAUGCGAUAAGUAAUGUGAAUUGCGGAAUUCAGUGAAUCAUCGAAUCUUUGAACGCACAUUGCGCCCGUCAGCAUUCUGGCGGGCAUGCCUGUUCGAGCGUCAUUUCAACCCUCAGGACCCCCCUUUCGCGGGGAGGGACCUGGCGUUGGGGAUCGGCCCGCCCCCCGUGGCGGCGCCGUCCCCGAAAUCUAGUGGCGGUCUCGCUGCAGCCUCCCCUGCGUAGUAGUUACAACCUCGCAUCGGAGCGCGGCGCGGCCACACCGUAAAACCCCCGACUUUCUGAACGUUGACCUCGGAUCAGGUAGGAAUACCCGCUGAACUUAAGC